rnacentral:rRNA from 1 species
UACCGUGAAACUGCGAAUGGCUCAUAAAUCAGUAUCGUUUAUUUGAUAGUACCUUACUACUUGGAUAACCGUGGUAAUUCUAGAGCUAAUACAUGCUAAAAACCUCGACUUCGGGAGGGGUGUAUUUAUUAGAUAAAAAACCAAUGCCCUUCGGGGCUCUUUGGUGAUUCAUGAUAACUUAACGGAUCGCAUGGCCUUGCGCCGGCGACGGUUCAUUCAAAUUUCUGCCCUAUCAACUUUCGAUGGUAAGGUAUUGGCUUACCAUGGUGGCAACGGGUGACGGGGAAUAAGGGUUCGGUUCCGGAGAGGGAGCCUGAGAAACGGCUACCACAUCCAAGGAAGGCAGCAGGCGCGCAAAUUACCCAAUCCCGACACGGGGAGGUAGUGACAAUAAAUACUGAUACAGGGCUCUUUUGGGUCUUGUAAUUGGAAUGAGUACAAUUUAAACCCCUUAACGAGGAACAAUUGGAGGGCAAGUCUGGUGCCAGCAGCCGCGGUAAUUCCAGCUCCAAUAGCGUAUAUUAAAGUUGUUGCAGUUAAAAAGCUCGUAGUUGAACCUUGGGCCUGGCUGGCCGGUCCGCCUCACCGCGUGUACUGGUCCGGCCGGGCCUUUCCUUCUGGAGAGCCGCAUGCCCUUCACUGGGUGUGUCGGGGAACCAGGACUUUUACUUUGAAAAAAUUAGAGUGUUCAAAGCAGGCCUUUGCUCGAAUACGUUAGCAUGGAAUAAUAGAAUAGGACGUGCGGUUCUAUUUUGUUGGUUUCUAGGACCGCCGUAAUGAUUAAUAGGGAUAGUCGGGGGCAUCAGUAUUCAAUUGUCAGAGGUGAAAUUCUUGGAUUUAUUGAAGACUAACUACUGCGAAAGCAUUUGCCAAGGAUGUUUUCAUUAAUCAGUGAACGAAAGUUAGGGGAUCGAAGACGAUCAGAUACCGUCGUAGUCUUAACCGUAAACUAUGCCGACUAGGGAUCGGGCGAUGUUACUAUUUGACUCGCUCGGCACCUUACGAGAAAUCAAGUUUUUGGGUUCUGGGGGGAGUAUGGUC